GAUGAACGCUAGCUACAGGCUUAACACAUGCAAGUCGAGGGGCAGCAUGGGAGUUGCUUGCAAUUCCUGAUGGCGACCGGCGCACGGGUGAGUAACGCGUGAGCAACAUGCCCGGUAGUGGAGGAUAGUCGAUGGAAACGUCGCGUAAUACUCCGUAACAACAGGGACCGCAUGAUCCUUGUUUAAUAGAUUUAUCGCUAUCGGAUUGGCUCGCGUCCCAUUAGGCAGUUGGCGGGGUAACGGCCCACCAAACCGACGAUGGGUAGGGGUUCUGAGAGGAAGGUCCCCCACAUUGGAACUGAGACACGGUCCAGACUCC
rnacentral:rRNA from 1 species